GCUUUGGUUUCACUAUUUUUGAGUUUAAGAUGAGCGAGUUAUGAUUUUUCAAUCAAUUUUACUUAUUUUCGCGUAGAAUCUGACAGCACCGGCGGACUUUGGUAAAAUAGCCAUAACUUCUAGCUCGGGACUCGAAAUGAUGCACCGUUUGUUUUGUUAGAAACUAGACAUAUAAAGCUUUCUAACGAUACAUCCCAUGAAUCAUGGGUAUGUCCGAGCGAUAACAGAUUUGCACACAAAACUGACCCAAAUUCUGCUUUGCACCAGUUUCACUGAUACGCUGAGCUAUAAUCACAAAGCCAUAGUAAGGUUAUCCGAACUCCGUUUUUGAUGUAUGACCUAUGGAUCAAAGAAAAAGAAGUAUACUUUUCAAUGGUUUAAGUGUCGUCCUUGAAUUAGCGUUGUUUAAUUGGAUAUAGUCUAAUGUAAAGGAUUUAACUUUGCCAAUUUGACAUGUGGGGAUACAAUGGAUUGAUUUAGAUGAUUAGGUGUUGGAUUAAAGAGAACUUGUGGUGUGUAAGAGAUAUGCAUUGUUGGUGUAUUGAUCAUAAAUAGAAUCAUUGAGUAUUGUCUAAACAUGUUUCCGUUUGAUUGAAUGUUUUAGGAAGUUCGAGUCGUCACGUGGAUCGAGGUGAGUGAUUUAAUACUUAAAUUACAUGAUUUUGAACUUGUUUUCUUUAACGAACUUAUUUGAACAAAUUUUAUGAAUUGUGUACUCCAUGGAAUAACAAUGGAAGGUGGAACUAUUUGUGAAAUAUUUGCGAAUCUAUUUAAUGGCAUUCCCAACGUUCGGUCUUGCUAGGGGACGGCUUAAUGGCUAGCAAGGGUGUUUGAGGUUGGUAUGUGUUUUGGGAUAAUGCGUAGACGUCUGGCUUAUCCACUACUGGGGACGCCCGGUAGCUUUGAAUUUUGAAUAGCGGAAUGUGCAUUAUAUUUGACUUAUGAUUUUGAGUUCUUUGUUUUGAAAUAUUAUCAAAUUAUUUUGCAUUGUCCAUGGAAGGCAUGUGAGUUAAGUAUUAAUCAUUCACACGAGCUUUGGCUUAAGUAUUUUCUUUUCCACCUUUCAGGAAGCGACGCAUAGUGUGGCAGAGUGUUUACUUUAGUUUGUAAAUUUGUAGGUAAGCACAGCUCUGAGAGGUUUAUCCUUUUGGUUUGUAAACCUAUGUAAGACUUUGGUUUGUUAUCAAUAAAAGUUAACUUUUGCUUCCGCUGUUA